GACAGAGGUGCCGAGCGUUAGGCGGAAUCACUGGGCUUAAAGCGUGUGUAGGCGGGUCCGUAAGUACCUUGUGAAAUCCCAUGGCUCAACCAUGGAACUGCUUGGUAUACUGCGGAUCUUGAGCCACCUAGGGGCAAGUGGAACAAACGGUGGAGCGGUGAAAUGCGUAGAUAUCAUUUGGAACGCCAAUGGUGAAAACAACUCGCUGGGGGUGUGCUGACGCUGAGACACGAAAGCCAGGGGAGCGAACGGG
rnacentral:rRNA from 1 species